UCCCUGGUGGUCCAGUGUUUAGGACGCCACACUUUCACUGUCGAGGGCUCAGGUUCGAUCCCUGGCCAGGGAA